rnacentral:rRNA from 1 species
GUGCCAGCAGCCGCGGUAAAACGUAGGUGGCGAGCGUUAUCCGGAUUUACUGGGCGUAAAGGGCGUCUAGGCGGUCCGGUAAGUCGUGCGUGAAAGCUCCCGGCUCAACCGGGAGAGGCCGUACGAUACUGCCGGGCUUGAGGGCCGGAGAGGGGGGUGGAAUUCCCGGUGUAGCGGUGAAAUGCGUCGAUAUCGGGAGGAACACCAGUGGCGAAGGCGGCCGACUGGAACUGACCUGACGCUGAGGGACGAAAGCCAGGGGAGCGAACCGGAUUAGAUACCCGGGUAGUCCUGGCCGUAAACGAUGGAUGCUAGAUGUGGGCGGGGAGACCCGUCCGUGUCGCAAGCUAACGCGUUAAGCAUCCCGCCUGGGGAGUACGGCCGCAAGGUUGAAACUCAAAUGAAUUGGCGGGG